UACAGAGGGUGCAAGCGUUGUUCGGAAUUAUUGGGCGUAAAGGGCGCGUAGGCGGCUUUGUAAGUCGGGGGUGAAAGCCUGUGGCUCAACCACAGAAUUGCCUUCGAUACUGCAUGGCUUGAGACCGGAAGAGGUAAGUGGAACUGCGAGUGUAGAGGUGAAAUUCGUAGAUAUCGAGAAGAACACCGGUGGCGAAGGCGGCCAACUGGACGGUGACUGACACUGAGACGCGAAAGCGUGGGGAGCAGACAGG
rnacentral:rRNA from 1 species